AUUCAAAGCAGAGUCAGCCAUGGUUGGGACACGCCUAUCAGACAGUUAGAGAUUGUGAACUUUCUUGUGAACAAGGACAUAACCAAAAUCCACCGAUUUCCAGAACAGAUCCAGCUGGGACUCUUUAUCCUUGGUCCUGUUUGGAAUACAGCAAAACGUAACCAGAUAGCCAUAUAUAUACGAAAUAUAAUUUUAUGAUUGCAUUCUGCCUUACGUUAAUUAGUCAUUAGCUUGUUGUGCACGCGAUACGAGAUACGUGUAUAGUGAACAAUGUUAAAGGUCAUUGACCGAAAAGAACACUUAAAAAUUGACGUAGUUUGAAUUCGUGUUGUCAGCGGAAUGACCGGGAAGAGUAAAACUCUCAAUGAUGAUUGGACUCUGGAAAGCCCUCAACGGAUGCAAGACUCUUAAUUGUAAUUAACCUUUAACAAUGGACUUCGUUGAUAAGUCACUUAUGAACUGUGACCCGAAAUGAUGUAUUAACAGUUGCUUAUUCUAUUUCCUGGUUUUUUUUUGCUUAUACAUGUAAUUUGAUUAAGAAUUUGUAGACUGAUUUUAGACCACUAUACGUUGAUUAAUGUGCUUAGUAAAUAUCAUAAAACAU
rnacentral:sRNA from 1 species